rnacentral:rRNA from 1 species
UUCGCAAUGCCCGAAAGGGUGACGAAGCGACGCCGCGUGGGUGAAGAAGGCCUUCGGGUUGUAAAGCCCUGUCAGGAGUUAUGAAAUGUAAGUACGCUAAUAUCGUGCUUAUUUGACAAAGGCUCCAAAGGAAGCCACGGCUAACUCUGUGCCAGCAGCCGCGGUAAUACAGAGGUGGCGAGCGUUGUUCGGAAUUAUUGGGCGUAAAGAGCACGUAGGUGGGUUUGCAAGUCAGAUGUGAAAGCCUUCUGUUCAACGGAAGAAUUGCAUCUGAAACUGCUAAUCUUGAGUAUAGGAGGGGAGAAUGGAACUUCUGGUGGAGCGGUGAAAUGCGUAGAUAUCAGAAGGAAUGCCGGCGGCGAAAGCGAUUCUCUGGCCUAUUACUGACACUCAGUGUGCGAAAGCUAGGGGAGCAAACGGGAUUAGAUACCCCGGUAGUCCUAGCCGUAAACGAUGGGCACUAAGUAGA